rnacentral:rRNA from 1 species
CGGGAUGCGGGAGCUACACAUGCAGCCGAGCGGUAGAGUUCCUUCGGGGACUUGAGAGCGGCGCACGGGUGCGGAACACGUGUGCAACCUGCCUUUAUCUGGGGGAUAGCCUUUCGAAAGGAAGAUUAAUACCCCAUAAUAUUUAGAAUGGCAUCAUUUUAAAUUGAAAACUCCGGUGGAUAGAGAUGGGCACGCGCAAGAUUAGAUAGUUGGUGAGGUAACGGCUCACCAAGUCUGCGAUCUUUAGGGGGCCUGAGAGGGUGAUCCCCCACACUGGUACUGAGACACGGACCAGACUCCUACGGGAGGCAGCAGUGAGGAAUAUUGGACAAUGGGUGAGAGCCUGAUCCAGCCAUCCCGCGUGAAGGACGACGGCCCUAUGGGUUGUAAACUUCUUUUGUAUAGGGAUAAACCUACUCUCGUGAGAGUAGCUGAAGGUACUAUACGAAUAAGCACCGGCUAACUCCGUGCCAGCAGCCGCGGUAAUACGGAGGGUGCAAGCGUUAUCCGGAUUUAUUGGGUUUAAAGGGUCCGUAGGCUGAUGUGUAAGUCAGUGGUGAAAUCUCACAGCUUAACUGUGAAACUGCCAUUGAUACUGCAUGUCUUGAGUGUUGUUGAAGUAGCUGGAAUAAGUAGUGUAGCGGUGAAAUGCAUAGAUAUUACUUAGAACACCAAUUGCGAAGGCAGGUUACUAAGCAACAACUGACGCUGAUGGACGAAAGCGUGGGGAGCGAACAGGAUUAGAUACCCUGGUAGUCCACGCCGUAAACGAUGCUAACUCGUUUUUGGGAUGUAAAUUUCAGAGACUAAGCGAAAGUGAUAAGUUAGCCACCUGGGGAGUACGAACGCAAGUUUGAAACUCAAAGGAAUUGACGGGGGCCCGCACAAGCGGUGGAUUAUGUGGUUUAAUUCGAUGAUACGCGAGGAACCUUACCAAGGCUUAAAUGGGAAUUGAUCGGUUUAGAAAUAGACCUUCCUUCGGGCAAUUUUC